AAAUAAAAAAGAAGAAGAAAAGGGGGGUGUGGGCUAGUAGUCGUAGGUAGUAGUAUUUUUUCCCGGCUUUUUUUUUUCUUCUUCUUCUUCUUUUU
rnacentral:ribozyme from 14 species